GGAGGGGGCGAGCGUUAUUCGGAAUUAUUGGGCGUAAAGGGCAGGUAGGCGGCUCUGUGUGUCCUCUGUGAAAGCCCUCGGCUCAACCGAGGAAUUGCAGGGGAAACUGCGGAGCUUGAGUCCGGGAGAGGGUAGUGGAAUUCCCAGUGUAGCGGUGAAAUGCGUAGAUAUUGGGAGGAACACCAGUGGCGAAGGCGGCUACCUGGACCGGGUACUGACGCUGAUCUGCGAAAGCCAGGGGAGCGAACGGGAUUAGAUACCCCGGUAGUCCUGGCUGUAAACUCUGAGCACUUGGUGUGGCGGGUAUCGACCCCCGUGCCGUGCCCGAAGCUAACGCAUUAAGUGCUCCGCCUGGGGGAGUACGGUCGCAAGGCUG
rnacentral:rRNA from 1 species